rnacentral:rRNA from 1 species
AGAGUUUGAUCAUGGCUCAGACUGAACGCUGGCGGCAUGCUUUACACAUGCAAGUCGAACGGCAGCGCGGGCUUCGGCCUGGCGGCGAGUGGCGAACGGGUGAGUAAUGCAUCGGAACGUACCCAGUCGUGGGGGAUAACACAUCGAAAGAUGUGCUAAUACCGCAUACGUCCUGAGGGAGAAAGCGGGGGACCUUCGGGCCUCGCGCGAUUGGAGCGGCCGAUGUCAGAUUAGCUAGUAGGUGGGGUAAAGGCCCACCUAGGCGACGAUCUGUAGCGGGUCUGAGAGGAUGAUCCGCCACACUGGGACUGAGACACGGCCCAGACUCCUACGGGAGGCAGCAGUGGGGAAUUUUGGACAAUGGGGGCAACCCUGAUCCAGCCAUGCCGCGUGAGUGAAGAAGGCCUUCGGGUUGUAAAGCUCUUUCGGCCGGGAAGAAAUCGCGCUCUUUAAUAGAGGGUGUGGAUGACGGUACCGGACUAAGAAGCACCGGCUAACUACGUGCCAGCAGCCGCGGUAAUA